UAUUUGUUCCAAUGUGGGUUAAAACUCCUUAUUAUUUCAGUAAAGUGCAUGCCCUUGGUUUUCCCCAUUGACCUUUGUUGCUCUGAAUUUGGCCACCUGGGUAGUGUAGCAGUACUUGUUACAUGCAGAGUGUUAGAAAUCAGCACUAAUUCUGAAUUUUUUUCCAUCAUUGCUGCUUAGCACUCACAUUUCUUCGCUGAAGGAUAGAAUAUGGAGUAAUAGAAGCUUUGGGAAAGGGCUGGAGCUCUAGGGCUUAUGGUGGUUCUGCCUAGAAAUUGUUACAAACAAUCUUGUCCCAGAAUUUAAACAUAACUAAAUCUAGGCUCUUCUCAAAAGGCUCUCACUGUUGAUAUAUAUUGACAUUGUAGUUAACCUGUAUCCUGCUUUGAGUAGUACACCUUGUAUUGUUAGUAUAUAUAAUCACUCAAUGGUUUUGAAUUAAGUUAUGCAUUUUUUCUAUUACACUCUAGCCAAAUCUGAUAAAAGAGAACGCUACAAUAGCCAUAUCGAAUAACUCUGACAAGGUGUAAUGCAAGUUCCUUCCUGGAAGAUGUUCUUUUGAGAUUGAUGUCUGGCAGGCAUUAUCUGUCUCUGCAUGUUGCAGACUCCAAUGUAUAUCUUGAGAAAGAAAUUUGCUUGAGUAACAAAGAAGUUUCCCAUAUGGCCAUAUGAUGUUUAUGGAUUACUUCUAGCAAGCAAUCAGAGCUUGGAACCACAUGCUUAUUCAUUGUUAUUGUUGGCCUAAAACUUAAUAUAUAACUGCUACUCUGCUUCUGCACUUUUGAAAGCUUAGAUUUGUUAAUAUGAUUCAGUUUCUUAAAUUAAAGCUGAUUGUGGACAUCUUUAGUGUCUCUGCCUUAUUAGGAGUGUCAUUUGAUGAUAACGUACUUGCAUUGAAGUUUUUUCGAUGGUAACACCUUCGUCAUAUUCCGAAGUUUUAUAUUAUUAUUCUUAAGAUAUUUGCAAGCCUGUCAAACUGUUUUCUCAAAAUUCCUGCCAUCUUGCAGUGAUAAUCCUCAAGCUGAUAAGGAUUCAAAUUAGUUUUCCUUUUUUGCUGGCUAGUACAGUAACUUUGUGCAUGUAACAUGAUUAUACCACUUUCUGCUGUACAAGAUAAGUACACGUCUGUGGCUUCCUCCAGUUCCCCACCUUCGGGCUUAAAGCCUGGAAGCAAAUGUAACUUCCAUAUGACUUUUUUUUCUUGCUGAACAAUUUGUAAGUCUAACUGGUUAAAAAUGCACAGGCUUGGAAAUAUUCACGAAUGUAGGUUCUUGUAGGUGUCCAUGCUUAGAAAGAUUUGUCAGUUUCAAUUUUCUACUUCGUUGUAUACUUGUCUAAUACCCUGCAAAUAUACAACCUACUGUCUCUUAGAUAACAAAAAGAAAUGUGAGAGUUG
rnacentral:lncRNA from 1 species